rnacentral:rRNA from 1 species
UACGUAGGGACCAAGCGUUGUUCGGAUUUACUGGGCGUAAAGGGCGUGUAGGCGGUCAGGUAAGUGAGAUGUGAAAUGCCCCGGCUCACCCGGGGACCGGCAUCUCAUACUGCUUGGCUUGAGUACGGGAGAGGAUGUGGGAAUUCCUGGUGUAGCGGUGAAAUGCGUAGAUAUCAGGAGGAACACCGGUGGCGAAGGCGCACAUCUGGCCCGAUACUGACGCUGAGGCGCGAAAGCUAGGGGAGCAAACGGG